AAUUGGCCAACUUUAGUGGCCUCAAAUAAACUCCCUACAAUACCAGCAGAACCCAUCUGAUAUGACUGAGAUGUCACAAACUAAGUAAACAAAAGAAUGGAUUACAGGAACUAAACAUUAGUGAUAUCCCCCCAAGGUGACUAAAUAGGAGUGUCAUACUUUGAAGAAGGAUUGGUAGAGGCAGGUGGGACUCCCCGAGGACAAUUAGAAGCAGUGAUACUAGAAUGUGUCUGUACC
rnacentral:lncRNA from 1 species